rnacentral:rRNA from 1 species
AUGGAACAUUUCAUUCUACCUCCGGAAUACAACAAAGUCGAUGAAUUCGGUAACGAGGUUCCGGGUGGACGUCAGAGGAGGAGGCUAGUUAAAGAGUUCGCUCUUCAGAAGAUGGGCGAAGCAUUCCGGAACUUCAAGAAAAAUUUAACCUGUGACUAUGUCAACAAGGGCAAGACUCCGGAUUUCAAUGGACAACAUGAGAAACUGAAAGAUGAUUGGCCAGAAUUUGUGAGGCAAAAGCAAUCGGAGCAUUUCAAGGAAAUAUCGAAAAAAAUAAGGAUAAUGCGAGUAAGAAAAAGUUCCAUCAUAUUAUGGGGCCAGGAGGAUACCGCCUUUCGGAGCCUAGGUGGCAGAAGAUGGAGGAGGACCUGA